GUCUAUUAUUUAUUUAAUUAUUUAAUGCUCAUUUUGAGCGACGCAGACCCAAUUAGGGCCCGCGCUCUACUAGACAACUCCCGGCAACAUCCAACGGCCCACACAGUGUGCCAUCUUCCCAAUUUCCCUCACAUGGCUUGGGUUAACCCGGGGCUAUGGUAACAUUCACUCGCCCAUGUUGAAUCGCCGUCAAGAGGAAUCGAACCCCGGUCUCCCGCACAGAGUACGAGAGCUAUAACCACUAAUCUACGGCGCCAUAUAGAUAGCAUAUUUCUCCCAUUCUAAUAUUAAGAGCCAUUAUUUUAUGAGCCUUUCUGAUUUUGAGUGUUGUUUUUUUUCUCUUACUAACCAGGCUACUUAAAUUUUACAUGUAUAUAAUAUAGAUAUUAUAGGUAUAAUAUUUUUCCCUCUCCUUUUAGCCAAUCAUGUUCAAUAUACUUUUUUGGCUAAAGACUUUGUACUUUUUUUUUAAAGAGUAUUCUUACACUUUACUUUAAGAUCUGUUGAAAAACUAAAUAAUACUUCAACUAGACAAGUGGUAUAGUAAUAUAAUUUGUGUUAUAGGAUAGUACAUGGGUAACAAUGCCACCAAAAAGGUCUCGAAAGCAAGCAUGCCCAAAUCCACUGUUUGUUAUGUGGUUGGAAGAGUGGAAGAAUGAAGCUGAAGAGAAAGGCUUGAAUUCUAAAUGGACAUAUGCCAAAGUAACUUUUUUAUUUGCUCCUUGGGCUUUGCGUUUCACAGUACAACAUCAAAACCAGUCAGCUAUUGCUUCUAUUAAAAAAUAUCCUCUUCCACUUCGUACUGGUAAAGAAGCAAAAAUACUUGAAAAUAUUGGUGAUGGAAUUGCAAAGAAAUUAGAUGAAAGGCUUGCACAAUACAUAGAAGAUGGUGGUGAUAUACAGUCUCUUCACAUUCGACCGGAUUUGCUAACUUUAUCAUCGCCAAAACGUAAAAGAAAUAAUAAACAAAAAGAAACCAGUAGUGACAUUAAUAAGUCACCUGAAUUGACCACACCUAUGUUUAGUCCUAAUGCCAAACAUUUAAAAACUGGCAGAAAAUACGUUCCAAAGUAUCGUUCUGGGGCUUAUGCUUUGAUCAUAACGCUUUAUGAAGAAAGUCAGAAGCCAACUUAUCUUGGUUACAUGGGAAAAACAGAUUUACAAGAAGCAUCGCAACCACUUUGUGAUAAGUCGUUUACAAUGUCAGAUGCUGGCUCCCACUACACAGCUUGGUCAUCUAUGGGAACUUUAGUCGAGAAAGGUUUCGUUGUCAAAAGAAGUAGUCCUGCAAAGUACUAUAUUACCGAUAAAGGUUGCGAACUGGCUCAUCAGUUGCUUAUGGGCAACGAAGGGAUUACCAAAAGUAACACAACAUCAAGUGUAGCUCAAAGCCCAAAACAUAAAGGUUAUAAGUCACGUGAAAAAAGAAGUUCAGUGCCUGAACCCGGAGAGGGAUUGUUGUCGGAACUCCGUGAUACGGUGAACUUAUUAGGUACUCCAAUUAGUCCAAAACAAAAAUAUGAAUCUGCUACGAUUACUAAUCCAACUGAAGUCUUUGAUACAAAUCGAAAAUUGGGGAGUCGUCAACCAAUUGGAAGUUCAGCUACCAAUCUUUUUUCACCUGGUAGUCAUUAUGUAAAGCUUCAGGAGAAAAUUCGAAAUUCCAAAAACGUUAAUGCUUCAAAUGUUCCUCAUGUUAAACUAAAUCAAAAUACAAAACAGACAAAGUCAACUGAGGAUGUCAGUGUUGCAAACAAAAUAACAAAAACUCUUGGUGGUACCAAUCCUGAUUUACAGCACACAAAAAAUUUCAACUAUUGGUAUGUGACAGACACUGAUGCUACAACGUUGUUAAAGAGUAAAGCACUUGUUACUAUUGAUGACAUCAUCGGUCUUGGUUUUCUUAUUAAAUCGAAACAAGCAGAUCUUGAAAGAUCUGGUGCAUUAUUUAAAAUAGAUGAGUCAAGGCAUGCAACAGACGGUUUUGUUUAUGCUUAUAUUGCUGAUAAAGAUGGACCAGAUGUUGCUCGACCACCUGAAUACUUAAAGUCACCCUCAAAAAGCUCUUCUACUGUUACGUCAGAAGGUUCAAAAAGGAAUCAUGCAUUUGCAUCUUCUUUACCAGUAGCAUGUACUGGAAUGUUAAAAGAAAAUCCAUUUAAAAAGAAAGACAAGGAAACAAUUUCAAGUUUAUCUGAUAGAAUUAUGGCUGCAACAUCAAGUUCUUCUAAUAUAUCAGAGGACAGCCCUCAAUAUACUACAAGUUUGACUGCAUCAGAUAUGAAACCUCUUUUCACACUAAACCCUAGUUUAUACGAUGUGAUAUUGUGUAUUGAUACCACUGAAACUACUGGUGGCGGUAAGAUGAAAAAAGAAAUGGCUGAUAAGCUGCUUAAAAGUGGAUUGACAAUUGACGUUCGCAAGCUUCAACUUGGAGAUUUUUUGUGGAUAGCUAAAGAAAAAUUUGGACAGCAACGCGAGUUACUGCUGGAUUUUAUUGUUGAGAGAAAGAGAAUGGAUGAUUUGGCUUCAAGUAUUGUGGAUGGAAGAUUUAAAGAACAAAAAUUUCGUCUCAAGAACUGCGGUUUGAAGAAAUUGAUAUAUUUGGUUGAAACUUACGGUUCAGCAAGUCAUUUUGCCGUGCCCGAAACUACUUUACGUCAGGCCAUUAUGAAUACUCAGGUUGUCGAUGGAUUGUUCGUCAAAGAAACUGCUGAUGUAUUUGAUUCUGUCAACUAUUUAAAGACGAUGACGCGCCGUCUUAUAAAGAUUUAUAAAGAUAAAAGCCUUCAUUGCUUGAAUAUGGAGUGCGUAAAAAAAUUAAAAGAAAAAGAUGAUUUUGAAAUGAUUAUUCAAAAUAAAGAACAAUACCUAAUAUCGUUUCAAGAAUUUACCACACAAACAGAAAAAAACAAGAUGUUAACAGUCCGUGAAAUGUUCGCAAAACAACUGAUGCAAAUCAAAGGUGUGUCAGCGGAAAGGGUGGUUGCUAUAGUAAACAAAUACCCUACACCCGCUUGUCUCCAGUUUCCUUACAGUGUCGUUGCUACACAUUUGAUGUGACGAGUUUUGAUGUUCUACGAAGCUUUUUUGAUGCAUUCAAUUUGUCUCCAGUCUACUUGAACUGUCGUUGCUACACAUUUGGUGUGACGAGUUAGGGCCAAUGUCAAAUUAGGCUACAUUACAAUCGCUAAAUUGGAUAAUGCAUAGAAAAGUGGGUGCGCCAAUCAGCAAGCAAGUUUUCACGUUGUUCAAUUCAUAAACCAAUCAAGAGAUUGUAUCUAUCUGGUAGUCAUGGACACCCGUUGCGAGGGAAACAAAUUUACCAAGUAAAGCGAUCAUGAAUUUUUCAUGGCUUAAUGAAAUAUGUUCAAUAAAAAUCAAACUGAAUAAUUAAUAUUUUGGUGUAAAAUUAAAUGAUGAUCUCCAUCGCAGAAGCUGUUUUUUCAUGAUAAAUAUUUGCUUUGUGUGUUAAAAAUGAUCUUGGAAGGAGAGUGUAACUUAAAGAAAAUAAAAUAUAGAAACGCUAAAGUAAAAAAAAAAACACAUUGGUGGUCGAAAAGUUAGAGAAGCCAUGAGUAUUCUUCAAAUUAUUUCGAAUACGAACUUCGAAAUAGGGCUCUCUGUUAUAUAUGGCAUAGGUGCUGUAGCAAGCAUAUGGGCUGCUAUACUGUCACCGCAUAUAUUUGACUGGAUAGGAGUGGAUGUGAAUAAAAGAAUCACAGGCAGAAACUGGCCACAACUAUUCUUGCUAUCGCUGGUGAUACAACCACUGACGUUCACAUUUUCUGCAAUUGCGCUGUGGUGGUAUCCAGUUGUGGCUAUAAUACCUGCGUUGCAUUUCUUAAUAACAUCUUUCUGCUUCAUUGUUAUCGAUUUCGUUCGAGAGGACGAGCCCUGGGAAAAAGGCUAUACUAGGUUGUUUUGAUAUGUGGAUUAAGGUUGUGAUUGGGUGCAAGCUCGACAUUCGAUGAGUUGUGAUUGAAUGACACUUAACUGGACAUUAUGCAAUUAGUACAAAAGAAUUUUAAAAAAAUGUUUAAAAGUGUGUAGAAUAUAUUGUGUAUUUUUAUUUGUAAAUAUAUGACCUUUUUAUUGGC